GCCACUUUGUUCCAAAGUAUAUUCAACAUAACUUUGUUGGAUUCUAAGCCAUAGAAAAUUCUCCUACGAGUCACUUUAGUUCUGAAAGUAUGGGUGGACACAUAAGAGCAUCUCUAGCAGAUCCGGCAUAGUCUGCUACUGCAAAAUCGUUUUAGGGAACUCGAAGUUCCCAGCAGAAUAGAUCCGCUAUAGUUCGUACUUCAAUUUAAAAACCAGUUCGCACUACAAAGUUCAUCAACACAACUGGAGUUCAUACAUAACUAAACAUAUAUCAAAUUACAAAUUAAACCUAGGGGAGGGCGGCUCAAUCAUCAAUGCCGAGGUAGAACUUCUUCACCAACUUGCGGCACGUAUUGGUGUAGAUGUGGUCCUCCUUUGCGGCGGCGAGGCGGUCGGCGACGCCUUCUUUUUCGGCCGCUAGCGUGUGUUUCGCAGCAAGGAGCUCCACAUCCGCCUCCCGGUACCUCACGGUGUGCGGGAAAAGGGUGUCGUGGAGCUCGUCAAAGCAGGCCCACGGGCUUCGCUGGCCGCGGUCGCGGGCCUGCUAUGACCGCCAUGGCUUCACGGGGAACCGGCUGGAGCUGUCGGCCUCACGCCGCCACGCUCGCGAGCAGAUCCGCCCGUGUGGGAGAAGGAAAAACGGCAGAUUCAAGCGGGAUUUGACUCCGGAGGCCGGGAUGGCUAGCGACGGGGUGGGCGAUUUUGCGGUGGAGGGAUAAGAUUUGCUAACCCUAAUCCCGGCCGGAAGCCUAGAUAUAUUUAUGAGCCGGUGAACUUUUGCAAGAUCUGCUAGAAAUGUUCUAAAUGCG
rnacentral:rRNA from 1 species